AAUGACGACAUGUUUACAGAAUCUAAUUUUUGACUAUAAAUGAUACACCGGAUUAGUGGAAAUUUAGUUAUUGUUCAAGUGAUUUGACUAUAAACAUGUCUAAGCAAUUGAUGGUUUAUUCGAUUCUGGUUGCGGUUUUGGGAGUCCAAUUCAAGCAAAUUGAAGGUGGACGUCCGUUUUUAACCAGAGCAAAGGCAGGAAUAAUGGGCGGUAAGAUUAAAGUUCCAUUUCAUUUUUAAAUUUCAUUCUUACCAUUCUAUAUACAAAG